GAACGCUGGCGGCAGGCUUAACACAUGCAAGUCGAACGGUAACAGGAAAUAGCUUGCUAUUUUGCUGACGAGUGGCGGACGGGUGAGUAAUGCUUGGGAAUUUGCCUGAUGGUGGGGGACAACAGUUGGAAACGACUGCUAAUACCGCAUAAUGUCUACGGACCAAAGGUGGCCUCUAUUUAUAUGCUAUCGCUAUCAGAUGAGCCCAAGUGGGAUUAGCUAGUUGGUAAGGUAAUGGCUUACCAAGGCGACGAUCCCUAGCUGGUCUUAGAGGAUGACCAGCCACACUGGAACUGAGACACGGUCCAGACUCCUACGGGAGGCAGCAGUGGGGAAUAUUGUACAAUGGGGGAAAACCCUGAUGCAGCCAUGCCGCGUGUGUGAAGAAGGCUUUCGGGUUGUAAAGCACUUUCAGCGAGGAGGAAAGGGUGUUGCUUAAUACGUAACACCUGUGACGUUACUCGCAGAAGAAGCACCGGCUAACUCCGUG
rnacentral:rRNA from 1 species